AUGCAUUUCUAGCCAGCAUCUACAAAGAAACAAGAUUUGAUGGUAAAAAACUAAAAACAAACACAAAAUAAACAUUCAAUCAAAGCAAUCGCAUGUAACCAGCAACUCCGCGGUAUGACAUAAUUGUUCAUGGUUCGUGGGUCGCAGCAGGGGUUGGGUUCGAUUCAUUCAGUCAUGGCUCGAUUAUGUCACCGGCAUCGUGGGUUGCCAUGUGCAAGCCAUCAAGUCGUGGCUCGUGGGUGUGAUUGGGUUUGAUUGGUUUGGUUGUAGCUCGUGGGUCGCGGCUGGGGUUGGGUCGUUCGAUGGGUUUGGUCGUCACUCGAUUGGGCCGCCGGC
rnacentral:lncRNA from 1 species